UCGUUCUAUCUAAUUAAAAGUGAGAUGUAUUUAGUUAUUUACUAUCAAUUUCUAAGUAUUGAUAGUAAGUCUGGGUGGCGUGGGUGCAGACAACAGAAUUUGUUUAUUUACGUUUUUUAAAGGUUGGGCUUAUUGGCCCCCGAUUUCCGGGGUGAAGUAUCCAUUGUUGUUCCUUGGACGACCUCUCUUUUGAUGAGCUGCUGGAAGAUGUAGGGCAUUCCAAGAUGGUGCUAAUAACUAAUUGUUAUUGACUUCUUCCACAACCGGAAUAGGAUCCAGCACCAAAAUCUGUUCAACAUGAGUAAUAUGUUCAGAAGGAGCCGCAGCGUGCAUCAACUCAACUGACUUGCCUUCUUUGAUUACUUCAUUGAUCUUUUGUAGUAGUUGUAAUUUUUCGUCAAAAUCUGAUUCAGCUAAUGAACUCAGUGUGUCUGCCAUCUUCCUAAAAAAAGCCAUCGCAAUAUUGUACUGGUCCCUGUCAGUUAUGGGCUUUUUGGUAAGCUUCUUGGAGUGAUGCAUUCCAGUCGGUGAAGAAACACUUGCUGGGACGGUAUCAUCAGUCUGUUUAACAAAAUUUGUUCAAUACCUCUAGACACUGAUUAGCCCAAUGUUCAGCAAAGGCCCCGACAGGAAUUUCCAUGUUGUUUGUAACAUGGAAGCUAAUUAUGUGACGACAAGGAAGACCGAAAUCCAUGAAGAACUUGCAAGUACAGCCAGUUAAAUCUUGUUUCAAAAAGUAUGUGGUUUUACUAGAAGCAAUGCUGUAUGUGGCCAAUUCCUGCAAUGAAUAAAAGUUCUUAGUUUCCAGGCAUAAGUCGAUAUUGAUUCAGCAAAUUUCUCCAGCAGCGGGUGCCUCUCCUUUGUGUUAAACCGUACUUCUCGAAUAGAUUGUUUAAGUUGUCUAUCACUCAGGCGAAGUAAUACGAGGUUUACCAAUCUUCUGAUGACUUCUGGCAGACGCUUGUUUUUUUAAGAACCUCUUUGAGAUAGGUAGGUGUCGACGUCCGAGAUAGCUCCACUUAUCCGAAAUGUUGAACCAAUUUUCUUCAAAGUAUGCCGCAACCACUUUACCUAUAAAUCAGCAGUUUCGACUUGGCUUCGGCGAAAUCUUCUUCCGUUACUGCAUAAAGUGCCGCACGGAACCAUUGCCUUAUUUCAUUCUUUUGCUCGAGGCUAAGAAAUAUCCAUUACUGUAGUUGAGUGUCGAUCGCCUUCAAUACGUGAAAGUGACAAAGAAUGCCGGUAGCUGCAGUAAAAAAAUUGGCUAAAGCCGCAAUCUCUGCGCAGUCUUUAUCUGUAACAGUGACUUUCGUUGGCUUAACGUCGUUGUUCUGAAAUUUAAAAAUAUUAAUUAUUAUUUUGUUAUAAUAGUUUACUUUUUAAGGUAAUACCUCAGUGAAAAUCUGCAGACAUUCAGAUAUAGCUUCCUUUGUCUCUUCCUUGAUAAAAAAGAACGCGACGGGUUGACUAGCUCCAUUGUUAUCGUGAAUCAUCAAGUGGUAAAGCGCAAAGCCAGAUUUGUUCGAUCCCUGGAUGAAAAUCGCGUUGACUUCAUCAUCGGAAUUCUGCAGCACCUUAAUUACGUGGUUGGGAUUUGAUUGGAGUUCUUUUAGAUAUUUCGCUGUUUCCUGCCAUUCCUCUCGGGAAUUUCCUACAAAAUGAGAUUAUUAUUUUUUAAAACUUAAGUAUAAGCAAAUUUAAUGAAAUUACCUAGUAAUGAUUGCUUAAUGUUCGUAAUGUCCUUUCCCAAGAGAUUUGUUCCGUACUUGUCCUGAAGGAUUUUCCUGAGGAUGGUGGGUUGAGCUCCAGCGGUGAGGGUGUCCUUUGCGAAUUCAAGCGCCUCAGGACCCAUGUUCCUAUAAAAAAUUAUUAAAAAUUUAAUAAAUAUUGUAAUUUAAAAAUUUAAUUUAAAAAUUCUGAUUUACUUACUUUUCCUUGCAUAAGUUUGUAUAUGCAAUUCUGAGACCGGGUGGUUUUUAUGAUCAAGUUCCAUUUUCACAAUUUCAAAAUUUUUCUUAAACAAAUUAAAUCUGAAAUGAAUUCGCACUGGACAUUCACAGUACAUGAUAUUUUGUUCAACACGCAUAUUUUUGGUUUGCCUUGGUUUCCGGGACACGGAAUGGGGACACACGUAAGUACAUUCUUUAUAAACAUAUUUUUCAUCAAUUUUCUUGUCUUCACUUUUAACACUCUUAUUCCAACUCUUAACUGUCUGUAAUGGUUUGUCUAAA
rnacentral:lncRNA from 1 species